rnacentral:rRNA from 1 species
UACGGAGGGUGCGAGCAUUAAUCGGAUUUAUUGGGCGUAAAGGGCGCGUAGGCGGAUUGGAAAGUCAGAUGUGAAAUCCCGGGGCUUAACCUCGGAACUGCAUUUGAAACUUCCGAUCUAGAGGAUAGAUGGAGAAAAUGGAAUUCCACAAGUAGCGGUGAAAUGCGUAGAUAUGUGGAAGAACACCAGUGGCGAAGGCGAUUUUCUAAUUUAGACCUGACGCUGAUGCGCGAAAGCUAGGGGAGCAAACAGG